CAAAAAGAAUUCAGCUUCCGAAUCGCAACUGGCAACUGGCCUAAUACUUAGACAGCAGAAAAGGCAGAGGAAAAGAGGCGCUCCCCUCAAAUGCAGUUCCGUCAAUUUCUACAAGAUCCAUAGUCAGAUUUUUGACUUUUGGUAGAUGGUUGCAGAUGGAUAAUUUUUCGAUUAUACAUGGAUAUGAUGGAUGUUCGUUUCAAAAGCAUUACAUUAACCAGGAUUCGGGGGAUAGCUUUGUCUUAUCAAGCGCUCACAAGUAUAGAUUACAGUGCUAUUAUACUGAACCACGUAUUGUGCUGCUUGGC